GUCGAGCGGUAGCGGGAAGAGCUUGCUCUUUGCCGACGAGCGGCGGACGGGUGCGUAACACGUAGGAAUCUGCCUGGUAGUGGGGGAUAGCCCGGAGAAAUCCGGAUUAAUACCGCAUACGCCCUACGGGGGAAAGGAGGGGACUCUUCGGAGCCUUUCGCUAUCAGAUGAGCCUGCGUCGGAUUAGCUGGUUGGUGGGGUAAAGGCCUACCAAGGCGACGAUCCGUAGCUGGUCUGAGAGGAUGAUCAGCCACACUGGGACUGAGACACGGCCCAGACUCCUACGGGAGGCAGCAGUGGGGAAUAUUGCACAAUGGGCGAAAGCCUGAUGCAGCCAUGCCGCGUGUGUGAAGAAGGCCCUAGGGUUGUAAAGCACUUUCAGUGGGGAGGAAAGGUUGAAGGUUAAUACCCUUCAGCUAUGACGUUACCCACAGAAGAAGCACCGGCUAACUCCGUGCCAGCAGCCGCGGUAAUACGGAGGGUGCGAGCGUUAAUCGGAAUUACUGGGCGUAAAGCGUGCGUAGGCGGCUACCUAAGUCGGAUGUGAAAGCCCCGGGCUCAACCUGGGAACUGCAUCCAAAACUGGGUGGCUAGAGUACGGGAGAGGAGUGUGGAAUUUCCUGUGUAGCGGUGAAAUGCGUAGAUAUAGGAAGGAACACCAGUGGCGAAGGCGACACUCUGGCCUGAUACUGACGCUGAGGUACGAAAGCGUGGGGAGCAAACAGGAUUAGAUACCCUGGUAGUCCACGCCGUAAACGAUGUCUACUAGUUGUCGGUUGUCUUGUACGACUGGUAACGCAGCUAACGCGAUAAGUAGACCGCCUGGGGGAGUACGG
rnacentral:rRNA from 1 species